AUAUUGAAAAUUAUAUCGAUUAUAUUUCUUCAGUCUCGUCAUUGUAUAUCUAUACACGCAGUGAAUGUGAACUUCUUUCGGCCGAAGCAUAAUUUUAUUAUAUCGUUAAGCUAAUCACCGAGGAAGAUGAAUUAAUUCGUUACACGUGUGGCGGCACUCGGCAGCAAUGUAUAUCGCCGAAGCGAAGUGCCUAACGAGCCAUCAAUAUCCCAACGGUCCUUCCGCCGAAUGUUAGAGAAGAAGGUGUGCGUGGCAACGGUCGCGAACGCCUAACAAACUCGUGGAUAGUAGGGAUAUUGAGGGGCGACAAAAAGAAAAGAAUCGAAUCCGAUCGACGGUUGAGUCUGAACCAGGAAGCGAAAAAGUAGAAUUAUAACAGGGCAGCGAGAUUGAUUAGCGAAACCGAGAGCGAUAUGCGACGCGAUCAAAAGAAGACACUAGUUAAUAAAUGUAUAGUUGACCUAAACACUGAGUGAUUAUUUAAGGGGGUAUUCUAGUCUAGAAAUUUGAAAAAGUCGAAAAUUUUUUUCAUAUUUCCAAAGUUUAGACAUUCAAGAAUAUGUCUUUAAACGGAUUUUUCAAUAUUUCAAUUAUUUUAUGAGUUGUAGCCAUUUUUGUGACGCGGCAUCUGCUCCGGUUCGACCGGGACAAAUGUGCAAUAGACGGUAGACGCUGCCCGAUUAUCUACGUAUGAAAACUCUCAUAAAAUCUUUACUGUAUUUUAUCCCUUUUUUAAGAUAUUCUUAAUUCAAGGCCAUAGAAACGUAUUUUGUCGGAAUCUUUUCGUCUUAGUAUUUAUUUCAAGUUAGUUUUGAGCCAGCCUUCAAGCAACGUGUACGUGCAACUCUGACAACGUUUUAUAAAUAUUUAAAGUAAAAAUUGUUUUAUAUAUUGAGAUUUUAAAGUAAAAUGGAUAAAAAACAUUCAAAAUUCAGCUCUAAACGGGCAUGCAGACCGAAGAAGAGAAGAUUUUCUGGUAAUCAAUUUACCGUAGAAGAAGAAACCAGUUUCACUAAUGCAUCUGCAGCAAAAUUGAAAAGUUCGAAAAUCCUCCUCUAAAUGACGACGUUUUAAAAGUAAUAAAACCAAUUUAUGAAAGCUUAUCAACUGAUACUUUAUUGGAACGAUGUUUGAGUUCUGAAACCCAAAAUAGUAACUGUUUGGAAUUUUAUAAGUCAUGAGAAUCACGAUUGGCCCAGAAGCUAAUGCGUUCGCAGUCAGGCGAGGCAAAGUUCGCAUCGAGCGCUCUGAAUUUCGAGCUUCAGAAGCAUCAAAGGAAGCCAGGACUGCUCGUCUCCAUGAAAGAACUUCGGAGAAUAAGCAUUUUGAAGUAGAGGAAGUAUGCUGUACCAUUCUAUGAGUAAAAAUGCCGGAAACUUGUCUCAAAACUUUAAACGCGUUUUUCUCGAAAAUACUUUUUUCGAGUUGGCGUGUACGAUAUCUCAAGUUCUAAUGAACCGAUUUAUUUGAAAUUUGAUUUGGUAUGAAUGUUCUUUAUACAUUCCUCUAUCGCCUGAACCACGCUCAGAACAAAAUUUUUAAUUUUACUAUUUUUUAAACAUUCGGAAUUGUUAAAAAAACAUGCGAAACAAGAAACUUUCCUUCAAACGGCCGCCAUUUUAUGAAAAAAUGUUGUUUUGACUUUUCCAAGGUUCGUGCUAUAGCAGCAUCUAUACUAAUUAAGAAUCCGUUCGGAUUUUUUGUUUUAGAUGACCAAAAGGGUUGAUAUUAUGCACGCCAGGACACCCUUUUUUCUUAGCACCACCCACUUUGCCAGCUCAUAACUUUGUGACUUUUAAGUCUUUUUUUUCGGUGAAUUUUUUACGUGAUCUUAAAAUAUCAAUAAACAAAUGCUUAAAAAAGGGAUAGCAAAAAUAUUUUUUGUUUCGUUUGUACAGAACUUCAAAAAUCGCCCGAGAUUCAUGCCUCUAGACUAGAAUACCCCCUUAACGUAUUACACCCAAUAUCACCUCAGGCGGAUUCCUAGUUUUUUGAACAUAGCAAUUUCUUUAUCUAUAGAUUUUUUAUUUUUUAAUAAUGAGUAAGUUUCUGAAAAGGAAAGACUGUUCGAGGAGGAAAAAUAUCCGUCGUGUUCAGGACAUCAAACUUUGCUUGUAUACAACAAGUGUAAAUAAAGUGCCAAAUUACACUAACACUCGAUAUAUUUGUGGCGACACUCGACACCAACUACCCCGGACGACGAUAGCGCAGUGGUUAGCGCCUUUGGUUACGAACAUUCGGGACCCGAGUUUCAAAUCCCGGCGCCCGUAGUCCGAUUUUUCUUCCAUGGCACAUAAAUGAGAAGAAAGCAGCAGUAGCUUACAGCGACGGUCUACAUCAGCAGCAGCAGCAGCACUAUAGCGACGAUUACUAUUGCACUUCAAAUUGGUGAUUCCGACGUGAUCUACAGCGAAAAGAGGUGUGAACGGCGAUAGCGCUACCGAGACUUCGAUCACCGCGAAUCCUAAGACUGUGGAAACUGGUGGACCGACCUACGAUGGACACGGAACGGGUCUUCCACCUUCGAACCUCGACUCCUCAUCUCCGACCGACGCAAGCAGGUGAAGACGGGAUUUGAGACGAUGAUCAAGCCAGGAGUGAUGCAGUCAACGAAAAGUCCAUGGGCAUCACCUCUGCACGUCAUACUAAAGAAGAACGGAGGCCUACGACUGAACGCUAAACGCCCCCGCACCGUGCCGACAGGUAUCCACCACCACAUCGAAGACUUCGCGCAACAUCUGCACGGGUUUGACAACAAAUCCGAGGAUGCCGAACUCUCGCAACCAUACACGGAAUCAACGAGCGAAGUUAUGACCAUAUGUACAACAAAGAAAAGAAUCCGUUUGGUUUCGAACAAAAAGAGAUUCAUUCUUCGAAGCAAACACAAUCGAGAUACGUGAUUGCUAAUCGUUGAUUGUUAAUCGUUGAUCGUUAAUAGUUUAAUAAACCUUUUUUGUUGAA